UACAGAGGGUGCAAGCGUUGUUCGGAAUUAUUGGGCGUAAAGAGCUCGUAGGCGGUUUGUCGCGUCUGCUGUGAAAACUCGGGGCUUAACUCCGGGCCUGCAGUGGGUACGGGCAGACUAGAGUGCGGUAGGGGAGACUGGAAUUCCUGGUGUAGCGGUGAAAUGCGCAGAUAUCAGGAGGAACACCGGUGGCGAGGGCGGGUCUCUGGGCCGUAACUGACGCUGAGGAGCGAAAGCAUGGGGAGCGAACAGG
rnacentral:rRNA from 1 species